rnacentral:other from 1 species
AUCCUGAAGCAUACGACAAGGCUUAUUUAAAUUCAACCGACAAAUGUUGUUCGGGAGACUGAGUUUAAUAAUAGAUAACAUGCCUGUACAUUUUUAUAGGAAGUUAAAAGUUAUUAGCAGGUCACCCACCUGGGAGUAUCUCGGGUCUGAAUUUACGUGAGCCACCGGUGUUUUGGGAUUU